rnacentral:rRNA from 1 species
UACGAAGGGGGCGAGCGUUGUUCGGAAUCACUGGGCGUAAAGGGCGCGUAGGCGGCCCUCCUAGUCGCGUGUGAAAGCCCCGGGCUCAACCUGGGAACGGCGCGCGAAACGGGGGGGCUGGAGUUCGGGAGAGGAGCGUGGAAUUCCCGAGUGUAGAGGUGAAAUUCGUAGAUAUUGGGAAGAACACCGGUGGCGAAAGGCGGCGC